rnacentral:rRNA from 1 species
UACGUAGGUGGCAAGCGUUGUCCGGAUUUACUGGGCGUAAAGAGCGCGCAGGCGGUCGUUCAAGCCGCGUGUGAAAGCCCCCGGCUCAACUGGGGAGGGUCACGCGAUACUGAUCGACUCGAAGGCAGGAGAGGGUAGUGGAAUUCCCGGUGUAGUGGUGAAAUGCGUAGAUAUCGGGAGGAACACCAGUGGCGAAGGCGACUACCUGGCCUGUUCUUGACGCUGAGGCGCGAAAGCUAGGGGAGCAAACGGG